rnacentral:sRNA from 1 species
CGUUGGAAAGAGAAUCUCGAGUACAGCACGUCGUCCCGAUUUGUGCACACGUCCGGAAGAUACACUACCACCGGAAAAACUAGGUAAAAAUUUGAAUUUCCCGCCGAAAAUUUACCUAAAAAUUUGAAUUUUUGGGAAAACUUCGUGAAAAGCCGGAGAAAUUUCGAUUUUCAGGCGAAUAAUCGAUUGAAAACCGCUAAAAAUCGCUAUUUUCGCCACCUGACACAGCUGAAAUCAUAGCUACAGUAACCCCACUCCAUUUCGUGGCGAGACCCAUUGAAUUUUUUGCGACAAUUCCCAGUUUUUCGCUUAAAAACUGAUGGUUUUCAGUCAAAAACCACCUCAGAAAAUCCAAAUUUUCACCGCCUGACACAGCUGAAACCGGUGCUACAGUAACCCAAAAUAAUCGUGGCAAGACUCAAAAAAAUGGAAAUAUCGAUUUUUGCCGAAAAAUCGAGAUUUUUCGCGGAAAUUCGAUUAAAAUCAACGAAAAAUCGAUAUUUUUCGUGAAAAAUCCAUUAAAAAACCACGAAAAAUCGCUAUUUUCACCAUAUGACACAGCUGAAACCGGUGCUACAGUAACCCAAUAUAGUCUUGGCGAGACCCAAAUAAAAUUUUAAGCUCAAAAUGUUGAUUUCAAGCUGAAAAACUAGUUAAAAACCCGCAAAAAUCGCUAUUUUCACCAUAUGACACAGCUGAAACCGGUGUUACAGUAACCCCACUCAAUUUCGUGGCGAGACCCAUCAAAUUUUUUUGCAGACGCUAUUCAUGUUUCUUCACCAAAUCCCAGCAGCCUACAGACAAGGAGCCACGUGGAGCCCGUAAUCGGCCAACGAAAAAGCUAAAAAGGGCUUGUACCGCCCAUAUAUCGGUCAGGGAGACUUUUGGGUACGGUAAUAGUGAAAAACUUGAAAAAUUCGCAAAAUUUUGAGCGGGAAAUUUGAAUUUUUGGGAAAAAUUUUUUUGAAAUUUUUGGAAAAAAAAUUUUCCAAAAAAAUUUUUUUUUUUUGAAAAUCUUUUAAAAUUCAAAUUUUUUUUCAAAUUUUCAAAAUUUUCAGCCAAAUCCACGUCCGUGCUUGUCUUUUUCACUGUGGACACGAGCAUUUGGUGAACAAUUUGCCGCUUUCAACGAUCGUUCGAAAGGAAAUUGCGACGCUUUUGAUCCGAGGAGAAACACCGGAAGAAAUUGUUGAAAAACUCAGAAG